UUUANAAGGCCUUCGGUUGUAAAAAUAUUUUUACGGGAUGAAAAUGACAGUACCGUAAGAAUAAGGUCCGGCUAAAUACGUGCCAGCAGCCGCGGUAAUACGUAUGGACCGAGCGUUGUCCGGAAUCAUUGGGCGUAAAGGGUACGUAGGCGGCCUAUUAAGUUAGAAGUGAAAUAAUAUAGCUCAACUAUAUAAAGCUUUUAAAACUGGUAGGCUUGAGAGAUGGAAGGGAAAGUGGAAUUCCUAGUGUAGCGGUGAAAUGCGCAGAUAUUAGGAAGAAUACCGGUGGCGAAGGCGACUUUCUGGUCAUCAUCUGACGCUGAGGUACGAAAGCGUGGGUAGCAAACAGGAUUAGAUACCCUGGUAGUCCACGCUGUAAACGAUGAGUGUUAGGUUCUUGGAAUAAUCUGGGAGCCGCAGCUAACGCAUUAAACACUCCGCCUGGGGAGUACGCACGCAAGUGUGAAACUCAAAGGAAUUGACGGGGACCCGCACAAGCAGCGGAGCAUGUGGUUUAAUUCGACGCAACGCGAAGAACCUUACCAAGUCUUGACAUAUUUCGGAGGGAAUUAGAGAUAAUUCCUUACGACUUCGGUCGACUGAAAUACAGGUGGUGCAUGGUUGUCGUCAGCUCGUGUCGUGAGAUGUUGGGUUAAGUCCCAUAACGAGCGCAACCCCUAUCGUUAGUUACCAUCAUUAAGUUGGGGACUCUAGCGAUACUGCCGGUGAUAAACCGGAGGAAGGUGGGGACGACGUCAAAUCAUCAUGCCCUUUAUGACUUGGGCUACACACGUGCUACAAUGGCAGAUACAGAGGGCAGCGAAAGAGCGAUCUGAAGCGAAACUCACAAAAUCUGUCCCAGUUCGGAUUGUACUCUGCAACUCGAGUACAUGAAGUUGGAGUUGCUAGUAAUCGCGAAUCAGAAUGUCGCGGUGAAUGCGUUCCCGGGUCUUGUACACACCGCCCGUCACACCAUGGGAGUUGGCAAUACCCGAAGCCUGUGAGCNNANCUUUUAGGACGCAGCAGUCGAAGGUAGGGUCAGUAAC
rnacentral:rRNA from 1 species